rnacentral:rRNA from 1 species
GCUUGUCUCAAAGAUUAAGCCAUGCAUGUCUAAGUAUAAAUGUUAUACAGUGAAACUGCGAAUGGCUCAUUAAAACAGUUAUAGUUUAUUUGAUAAUCGAAUUUACAUGGAUAACCGUGGUAAUUCUAGAGCUAAUACAUGCUGUUAAGCCUGACUUCUCGGAAGGGCUGUAUUUAUUAGAUUUAAGGCCAACCGAGCUUGCUCGUCUCUUGGUGAAUCAUGAUAACUUCACGAAUCGCAUGGCCUCGCGCCGGCGAUAUUUCAUUCAAAUUUCUGCCCUAUCAAUUGGCGAUGGUAGGAUAGAGGCCUACCAUGGUGUUAACGGGUGACGGGGGAUUAGGGUUCGAUUCCGGAGAGGCAGCCUGAGAAACGGCUACCACAUCCAAGGAAGGCAGCAGG